rnacentral:rRNA from 1 species
UGUUGCGAUCUUACCGAUACUGAUGCAUCGGAUCCCAUUAGAACUCCGCAGUUAAGCGUGCUUGGGUGAGAGUAGUAGUAAGAUGGUUGACAUCCUGGGAAGUCCUCAUAUUGCACCCC